rnacentral:rRNA from 1 species
CAGCAGCCGCGGUAAUACGAAGGGGGCUAGCGUUGUUCGGAUUUACUGGGCGUAAAGGGCGCGUAGGCGGGCUGAUAAGUCAGGGGUGAAAUCCCAAGGCUCAACCUUGGAACUGCCUUUGAUACUGUUUGUCUUGAGUUCGAGAGAGGUAAGUGGAACUGCGAGUGUAGAGGUGAAACUCGUAGAUAUUCGCAAGAACACCAGUGGCGAAGGCGGCUUACUGGCUCGAAACUGACGCUGAGGCGCGAAAGCGUGGGGAGCAAACAGGAUUAGAUACCCCCGUAGUCCCUGUCUCUUAUAC